GCCUACUGUUUAAUUUUGAAAGUUCUUUACGAACUUUAUAUAUGGGGGUGUAGCUCAGUUGGGAGAGCACUUGCCUUGCAAGCAAGGGGUCAGGAGUUCGACUCUCCUCAUCUCCACCAUUUAAGAGUAUAUUACUUAAAUCUUUGAUUUACUUAGUAGCCUCUUACAAUGCACUUAUAGCUUAAAUUUAUACAAGCUUUGUGUGUUAGCACUUUAAGCAACAGAAUAAUCUUAGUGAAUACGAAGGUUGUUCGUUGACGUGGUGCAUUAGCACUUUUAAGCAACGGAAUUUAUUCGUUAGCGCCGUGCUUUAGCACUUUGAAAACUGCAUAUAUAUUUAGUGAUAUGACAUCUAAUUUGUAAUAUAUAAAGCUGAUAACUUUUAAAAAUUAUCAAGUUGAUAGACUUUAAUCUAUCAAACCUUUUUAACUGGUCAA
rnacentral:tRNA from 1 species